CGCGUAGGUGGUUUGGUAAGCGAGAUGUGAAAGCCCCGGGCUUAACCUGGGAACGGCAUUUCGAACUGUCAGACUAGAGUGUGGUAGAGGGUAGUGGAAUUUCCUGUGUAGCGGUGAAAUGCGUAGAUAUAGGAAGGAACACCAGUGGCGAAGGCGGCUACCUGGACCAACACUGACACUGAGGUGCGAAAGCGUGGGGAGGCAAACA
rnacentral:rRNA from 1 species